rnacentral:rRNA from 1 species
UACGGAGGGUGCAAGCGUUAUCCGGAAUCAUUGGGUUUAAAGGGUCCGUAGGCGGUUUGGUAAGUCAGUGGUGAAAGCCCAUCGCUCAACGGUGGAACGGCCAUUGAUACUGCCAGACUUGAAUUAUUAGGAAGUAACUAGAAUAUGUAGUGAUAGCGGUGAAAUGCUUAGAGAUUACAUGGAAUACCAAUUGCGAAGGCAGGUUACUACUAAUGGAUUGACGCUGAUGGACGAAAGCGUGGGUAGCGAACAGG